rnacentral:lncRNA from 1 species
GCACUGAAUCAUCACCGACCCUAGGCCACAAAUCUCAACCACAGACCCAUCACCAAAGCUCACCGAUCCAUGUACGCUUUCGUCGAGGGAUGCAAGGGCUGCUUUGUUUCCCGUCAUAUGGUUACUGGCUCCAGUAUCUAGGUACCAUACAUUGUUGUCACGGCUGUCCGGGAGCACACGUUCCUCAUUGAGGUACACACUCUGCAUAUGAGUAUUCGGCAUUCUCCAUGAACGGGCUAAGAGCAAGGA